GAAAUGCGAUAAGUAGUGUGAAUUGCAGAAUUCAGUGAAUCAUCGAAUCUUUGAACGCACAUUGCGCCCUUUGGUAUUCCUUAGGGCAUGCCUGUUCGAGCGUCAUCUAAACCUUCAAGCCCUGCUUGGUGUUGGGUGCCUGUCCCGCCUCCGCGCGCGGACUCACCUCAAAUCCAUUGGCGGCCCCCGCGUCGGCCACGAGCGCAGCAGAAACGCGAACUCGUGAGCCCGUCCGGGCGGCUCCCAGAAGCUACACCCACACAGUUUGACCUCGGAUCAGGUAGGGAUACCCGCUGAACUUAAGC
rnacentral:misc_RNA from 1 species